rnacentral:piRNA from 1 species
CCAAAUACUGGAGACUGCAGAUUUGU